rnacentral:rRNA from 1 species
GCUCAACCGAGGAAGUGCUUCGAAAACUGGUAAACUUGAGUGCAGAAGAGGAAAGUGGAACUCCAUGUGUAGCGGUGGAAUGCGUAGAUAUAUGGAAGAACACCAGUGGCGAAGGCGGCUUUCUGGUCUGUAACUGACGCUGAGAUUCGAAAGCAUGGGUAGCAAACAGGAUUAGAUACCCUGGUAGUCCAUGCCGUAAACGAUGAGUGCUAAGUGUUGGAGGGUUUCCGCCCUUCAGUGCUGCAGCUAACGCAUUAAGCACUCCGCCUGGGGAGUACGAUCGCAAGAUUGAAACUCAAAGGAAUUGACGGGGGCCCGCACAAGCGGUGGAGCAUGUGGUUUAAUUCGAAGCAACGCGAAGAACCUUACCAGGUCUUGACAUACCAUGAAGAGCUUAGAGAUAAGUCUUUCCCUUCGGGGACAUGGAUACAGGUGGUGCAUGGUUGUCGUCAGCUCGUGUCGUGAGAUGUUGGGUUAAGUCCCGCAACGAGCGCAACCCUUAUUAUCAGUUGCCAGCAUUCAGUUGGGCACUCUGGUGAGACUGCCGGUGAUAAACCGGAGGAAGGUGGGGACGACGUCAAAUCAUCAUGCCCCUUAUGACCUGGGCUACACACGUGCUACAAUGGUCGGUACAACG